UACGUAGGGUGCAAGCGUUACUCGGAAUUACUGGGCGUAAAGCGUGCGUAGGCGGUUGGUUAAGUCUGCUGUGAAAGCCCUGGCUCAACCUGGGAACUGCAGUGGAUACUGGCCAGCUAGAGUGUGUCAGAGGAUGGUGGAAUUCCCGGUGUAGCGGUGAAAUGCGUAGAUAUCUGGAGGAAUACCGGUGGCGAAGGCGGCAUCCUGGACCGACGAUUGACG
rnacentral:rRNA from 1 species